UCAAUCAAACCUAAAAGGACGAUUUUCUUUUAUUUUGUUUCAUCCCAAACCACUUCAUUUCAUUUUUGCAAACAAAAUCAAAGUUUUUUUUCUCUAGAAGUAAUGGAGAAGUUAUUUAAACAUGCUAAGAAAACAAAUCUCGAAAUUAAUCUUUUUCUGAUUAGGACUCCUAAUCUAAUCUCAUUUCCUGAAAAUAAAAACACAAAUUUCAAUAUUACAGUUCAAAGUUCUCAGGGGGCAUUUUUCUUGAAAAACACCUCCAAUAUUUUGCUCCAUUAUGUAGUAGCUUAUACUCCUUCCUCAACAAUAGUGUUGAGAAUGAAGGGCAAUAUUCACAAUAGUAGGACAUAA